rnacentral:misc_RNA from 1 species
AACGCACCUUGCGCCCUUUGGUAUUCCGAAGGGCAUGCCUGUUUGAGUGUCUUUAAAUUCUCAACCUUGGAAAGCUUUUGUUUUCCAUGGCUUGGAUGUGGAGGUUGCGGGCUUUUCUAAGUCGGCUCCUCUGAAAUGCAUUAGCUGGGUUUGCGCCUUCAGCCUAUUGGUGUGAUAAUUAUCUACGCCUCUUGGUUGUUAGCGUGUUUUACUUUCCAGCUUCAAAUCGUCCUUCAUUGGACAAUAUUUGACUAUUUGACCUCAAAUCAGGUAGGACUACCCGCUGAACUUAA